GACGGUCUUCUCAGCGGUGAUAUUCUCCGACGAGAUUGUGUGCUCUCUCCAGCGAUGAUCUCCUCUGGCAGGUUCUCCUCCGGUGCCGCGUUCUCCUCCUGCUACAAUCUCCGUGUGAGAGCAAGAAACUUCAUAAAACUAUGAGAUCUGUUGCGCAAGUGUUUCCUCCAACGAUCUUCUCCAGCGGCGAUCUUCUCCGGCGGUGAUCUCCUCCAUCAAUGCUUCUCUUCCAUUGGUAAGAUCUGUUGUGCAAGUGUUUCCUGUGGCAUCGAGUUGUGUUCUGCGACUUCUCCAUCUCCAUCGAGCUUCGUUGAGCAUCUAGGUUUUCGAUUUUCUUCACUGUCAGAAGAAAUUGGAGGACGUGAAGCAG